CUUGACAACCUCCCAAGUGAAGUCAGGGUCAUCACGCCCGAAAUGGCCAUACGCAGCGGUUUUCUGGAACCUGAAGUUACCUCCCCUCUUAAGGUCAAGGUUAAUGGCCAUCAUUCCCGGCCUGAAGUCAAAUGCUUCCUUGAUCAACACAAGGAUAUCCUUGUCUGGGAUGGUCCCGGUCUUGUAGGUGUCAACAAACACUGAGAGCGGCUCAGGGACACCAAUGGCGUAUGAUACCUGCACGAUACAACGGC
rnacentral:lncRNA from 1 species